UGCACUGUGCAGUGAUUUGAUCUGUAUGAACAUUAUACAAGACAAACUUUUACUGUACUUGCAACCAAAAUAAACUAAUGCAAUUAGAAGAUACAAGAGGCAUCUAGACGGACAGGGCACUGAAGCUCAGGCAAUUCUUCCCCUGCGCCGUACUGACAUGCACGCAACCUACCACAGAAAGACGUCAAGUCUUAAUCAAGAGCACUCAGCAGGUCGGGCAACGUUGCUCCAGAGAGAAAUAGAGGCAAUGCUUCAGGAUGACAACUUCAGAAAUGAAAAUAAGUGAGAAAACAAGCACAGAUUAAGUUGUGCCGAGAGCUGGCGGAGAGAAAGUAAACAGCAGGAACAAUGAAGAGUCGCCACACCUUCACAGGUGUUUGAAUUCCAAAGAUCUUGUGACUCCUCAUUCUGGACAAUCUAUCCAGGGGAAAUAUCAUCCCCACACCUAUCCUGUCAAAUCUCAUAAGAAUUUUAAAUUGUGUUUUGAUGUUAUUAUUCAGGAUGCCAGGGAAUUCAGGACCAGUCUAUUUAAUCUCUCCUCAUAGGACAAUUUUGCCAUACUGGAACCAAUCAUUGUACUCCACCACUAUUACAUGAGGAGACCAGAAGCAUCGAAGCCCACAGCUUUGGAGAAAGAACAGGAAUGCCUGGAGCCAUCAGACAGUAGGACAGCUGCUGCAGCACAGUGUAAUACCUCAGUCAUAAUCUCACUCUGUAACUCCUGAAAAACAUCUCAACUCUUGGUACCCGAGUCUUCUUGCAAUAAUGCCCAACAUUUAAAUACUUGCCGUACCUUUACAUUAACUUUCAUGUGCCCUUUAACAAACUUCAGUCUCUCAUCAGAUAAAACAAUUGCACUUGAUCAUCUUCCCCACAGUUUUCCACAUUAUAUUCCAUCUGCCAUGUCCUCACACAGACACCAAGCCUCCAUCCUUUGACGUCGUACACACAGAGCACACUGCCACCUAGCUGUGUGUCAUCAACAAACUAUUAUACUGGAACUAUUCUGUAAUAAAUAGUUGCU